rnacentral:rRNA from 1 species
CAGUGCCGUCAAAUAGGCGGCACUUGACGGUACUAACAGAAAGCACGGCUAACUACGUGGCCAGCAGCCGCGGUAAUACGUAGGUGGCAGCGUGUCAGAAUUAUGGGCGUAAAGGGCUCGCAGGCGGUUUCUUAAGUUGAUGUGAAAGCCCCCCGGCUCAACCGGGGAGGGUCAUUGGAAACUGGGGAACUUGAGUGCAGAAGAGGAGAGUAGAACUCCACGUGUAGCGGUGAAAUGCGUAGAGAUGUGGAGGAACACCAGUGGCGACGGCGACUCUCUGGUCUGUAACUGACGCUGAGGAGCGAAAGCGUGGGGAGCGAACAGGAUUAGAUACCCUGGUAGUCCACGCCGUAAACGAUGAGUGCUAAGUGUUAGGGGGUUUCCGCCCCUUAGUGCUGCAGCUAACGCAUUAAGCACUCCGCCUGGGGAGUACGGUCGCAAGACUGAAACUCAAAGGAAUUGACGGGGGCCCGCACAACGCGGUGGAGCAUGUGGUUUAAUUCGAAGCAACGCGAAGAACCUUACCAGGUCUUGACAUCCUCUGACAAUCCUAGAGAUAGGACGUCCCCUUCGGGGGCAGAGUGACAGGUGGUGCAUGGUUGUCGUCAGCUCGUGUCGUGAGAUGUUGGGUUAAGUCCCGCAACGAGCGCAACCCUUGAUCUUAGUUGCCAGCAUUCAGUUGGGCACUCUAAGGUGACUGCCGGUGACAAACCGGAGGAAGGUGGGGAUGACGUCAAAUCAUCAUGCCCCUUAUGACCUGGGCUACACACGUGCUACAAUGGACAGAACAAAGGGCAGCGAAACCGCGAGGUUAAGCCAAUCCCACAAAUCUGUUCUCAGUUCGGAUCGCAGUCUGCAACUCGACUGCGUGAAGCUGGAAUCGCUAGUAA